UUCACAUACAAGACAACAAUGACUCGGUAGGACGUUCACCACCGUGGAUGUAAGGCGGCCCACGAACAUAUGGAGGUUCAAAAUGGGACCAUGAGGAACACGCAGCCAGCAGCCAAAAACUUCUUUUUAACUGGGAUCAUAGGAAUGCUGUCUUAUCUGCCAUCUUUCAACCUUCCAUCCAGUUAAUGCAAGAUAAAUGGUCUGAGGGCCCCGAACAGUCCUUCCAGAUGAAGCAACACUUCACCUGCAAAUCUGUUGGGGUUGUCUACUGUAUCUGGUGCUCCCGAUGUGGCCUCCCCUACACAGGUCCAGAUGAGAUUUUAGCUUCAAUUCUGACUCUUGAGAUAGGAACACUUAAUAUUUAUAUGCAUGAGUGAGGGAGGGCCACAACGACUUUCAAAAUAGAUGUCAAACUGAAGAUGCAUCUGCUUUCUGUUGGAAGUAAAAGAUCCAAAGGAACUACCAUGAAGAGGAGGAAGGGAGAUAAUUUUGGCAUGGAAUUGUUCAAAUAAAAACAAAUUUUCAGUAAUUAUUUUGUCAUUUUGUGGAAUCCUGCUGUGUGUAUAUUGGCUGCUGAGUUUUUUUUACAUUACAACAGGUACUACUCUCCAAAUAUACAGCAAUAGCUUGGUGUACUCAAAGAUACGAAGCAUGCCAAAUUAGUAAGAAGAAUUUUCCUUUUAGGAAAUACGAAUCUUAAUGAGGAUAAUUUAUGGUGAGUUCUUAACACUUUGCUUCCAUUAAUUAAAAAAUAAUAGAAAGUAAAACAUUAUUCAUCACAAAAGGAAAACAAACUUGUUCUGCUGCAUGCAAUUUGUACUAAGGUCUUAACGUUAUCAUGUCAGUGGUGGAUAGCUUUGCAGAUGAAGGGGUAGCAGUUCCUCAGACAUAUGUUUCUAUAGGUUUGAGUAAUUAUUUUGGAUGUGGCUUUCAACAGAGUUGGCCCCGUUUGGGGUUUCAGAAAAUGAACAACAUGAACCAGUUGCAUCAGUAAAGAAUUCCCUUCCUUUCCUAUUUUCUACAUUGGAUGAAUAGUGGAUGAGAAUCAACCAAAACCAGGUCAGUGGUCUUGUGACUUUAAUCUUGGGAAUUUAAUGAAACUGGUCAAAAGCCUGCAGCAGGUUGUACUUGGGGUACUGACAGCCAAGCGGCAGAUUGAUGGUUGCCUGUUGAAUGCUUUGCAAAAACCUGCUACUUUGGAUGGUGGCUAACUCUUAUCUACAUUUGCCCUUCUGCUUGGAGACCCCAAUUAGAGCAGUGGUGUGUGAAGCUUUGCCAUUGGCAGAACAGUAAAAUACAUUGAAGUGCAGCGGCCUCAGCUGUGGUGUGUGUUUAAAAGUCUGGCUUAAACACUUGCAAGCAUCUCUGCACCGCAUCCUUUCUGAUUAUGCAGAAAGCUGACAGACCC